rnacentral:rRNA from 1 species
GGGUUGUGAGGUUAAGCGACUAAGCGUACACGGUGGAUGCCCUGGCAGUCAGAGGCGAUGAAGGACGUGCUAAUCUGCGAUAAGCGUCGGUAAGGUGAUAUGAACCGUUAUAACCGGCGAUUUCCGAAUGGGGAAACCCAGUGUGUUUCGACACACUAUCAUUAACUGAAUCCAUAGGUUAAUGAGGCGAACCGGGGGAACUGAAACAUCUAAGUACCCCGAGGAAAAGAAAUCAACCGAGAUUCCCCCAGUAGCGGCGAGCGAACGGGGAGCAGCCCAGAGCCUGAAUCAGUGUGUGUGUUAGUGGAAGCGUCUGGAAAGGCGCGCGAUACAGGGUGACAGCCCCGUACACAAAAAUGCACAUACUGUGAGCUCGAUGAGUAGGGCGGGACACGUGGUAUCCUGUCUGAAUAUGGGGGGACCAUCCUCCAAGGCUAAAUACUCCUGACUGACCGAUAGUGAACCAGUACCGUGAGGGAAAGGCGAAAAGAACCCCGGCGAGGGGAGUGAAAAAGAACCUGAAACCGUGUACGUACAAGCAGUGGGAGCCUCUUAAUGGGGUGACUGCGUACCUUUUGUAUAAUGGGUCAGCGACUUAUAUUCUGUAGCAAGGUUAACCGAAUAGGGGAGCCGAAGGGAAACCGAGUCUUAACUGGGCGUUAAGUUGCAGGGUAUAGACCCGAAACCCGGUGAUCUAGCCAUGGGCAGGUUGAAGGUUGGGUAACACUAACUGGAGGACCGAACCGACUAAUGUUGAAAAAUUAGCGGAUGACUUGUGGCUGGGGGUGAAAGGCCAAUCAAACCGGGAGAUAGCUGGUUCUCCCCGAAAGCUAUUUAGGUAGCGCCUCGUGAAUUCAUCUCCGGGGGUAGAGCACUGUUUCGGCAAGGGGGUCAUCCCGACUUACCAACCCGAUGCAAACUGCGAAUACCGGAGAAUGUUAUCACGGGAGACACACGGCGGGUGCUAACGUCCGUCGUGAAGAGGGAAACAACCCAGACCGCCAGCUAAGGUCCCAAAGUCAUGGUUAAGUGGGAAACGAUGUGGGAAGGCCCAGACAGCCAGGAUGUUGGCUUAGAAGCAGCCAUCAUUUAAAGAAAGCGUAAUAGCUCACUGGUCGAGUCGGCCUGCGCGGAAGAUGUAACGGGGCUAAACCAUGCACCGAAGCUGCGGCAGCGACACUAUGUGUUGUUGGGUAGGGGAGCGUUCUGUAAGCCUGUGAAGGUGUACUGUGAGGUAUGCUGGAGGUAUCAGAAGUGCGAAUGCUGACAUAAGUAACGAUAAAGCGGGUGAAAAGCCCGCUCGCCGGAAGACCAAGGGUUCCUGUCCAACGUUAAUCGGGGCAGGGUGAGUCGACCCCUAAGGCGAGGCCGAAAGGCGUAGUCGAUGGGAAACAGGUUAAUAUUCCUGUACUUGGUGUUACUGCGAAGGGGGGACGGAGAAGGCUAUGUUGGCCGGGCGACGGUUGUCCCGGUUUAAGCGUGUAGGCUGGUUUUCCAGGCAAAUCCGGAAAAUCAAGGCUGAGGCGUGAUGACGAGGCACUACGGUGCUGAAGCAACAAAUGCCCUGCUUCCAGGAAAAGCCUCUAAGCAUCAGGUAACAUCAAAUCGUACCCCAAACCGACACAGGUGGUCAGGUAGAGAAUACCAAGGCGCUUGAGAGAACUCGGGUGAAGGAACUAGGCAAAAUGGUGCCGUAACUUCGGGAGAAGGCACGCUGAUAUGUAGGUGAAGUCCCUUGCGGAUGGAGCUGAAAUCAGUCGAAGAUACCAGCUGGCUGCAACUGUUUAUUAAAAACACAGCACUGUGCAAACACGAAAGUGGACGUAUACGGUGUGACGCCUGCCCGGUGCCGGAAGGUUAAUUGAUGGGGUUAGCGGUAACGCGAAGCUCUUGAUCGAAGCCCCGGUAAACGGCGGCCGUAACUAUAACGGUCCUAAGGUAGCGAAAUUCCUUGUCGGGUAAGUUCCGACCUGCACGAAUGGCGUAAUGAUGGCCAGGCUGUCUCCACCCGAGACUCAGUGAAAUUGAACUCGCUGUGAAGAUGCAGUGUACCCGCGGCAAGACGGAAAGACCCCGUGAACCUUUACUAUAGCUUGACACUGAACAUUGAGCCUUGAUGUGUAGGAUAGGUGGGAGGCUUUGAAGUGUGGACGCCAGUCUGCAUGGAGCCGACCUUGAAAUACCACCCUUUAAUGUUUGAUGUUCUAACGUUGGCCCCUUACCGGGGUUGCGGACAGUGUCUGGUGGGUAGUUUGACUGGGGCGGUCUCCUCCUAAAGAGUAACGGAGGAGCACGAAGGUUGGCUAAUCCUGGUCGGACAUCAGGAGGUUAGUGCAAUGGCAUAAGCCAGCUUGACUGCGAGCGUGACGGCGCGAGCAGGUGCGAAAGCAGGUCAUAGUGAUCCGGUGGUUCUGAAUGGAAGGGCCAUCGCUCAACGGAUAAAAGGUACUCCGGGGAUAACAGGCUGAUACCGCCCAAGAGUUCAUAUCGACGGCGGUGUUUGGCACCUCGAUGUCGGCUCAUCACAUCCUGGGGCUGAAGUAGGUCCCAAGGGUAUGGCUGUUCGCCAUUUAAAGUGGUACGCGAGCUGGGUUUAGAACGUCGUGAGACAGUUCGGUCCCUAUCUGCCGUGGGCGCUGGAGAACUGAGGGGGGCUGCUCCUAGUACGAGAGGACCGGAGUGGACGCAUCACUGGUGUUCGGGUUGUCAUGCCAAUGGCACUGCCCGGUAGCUAAAUGCGGAAGAGAUAAGUGCUGAAAGCAUCUAAGCACGAAACUUGCCCCGAGAUGAGUUCUCCCUGACUCCUUGAGAGUCCUGAAGGAACGUUGAAGACGACGACGUUGAUAGGCCGGGUGUGUAAGCGCAGCGAUGCGUUGAGCUAACCGGUACUAAUGAACCGUGAGGCUUAACCUUACAACGCCGAAGGUGUUU